GCUCUUCCUCUCUAAUCCUUUGUCCCUGGGUGAGAGUGCUUUCUGAAUGCAGUGCACCCAGGCAAGGAUUCUGAGAGGGUGAGC
rfam:Macaca mulatta chromosome X, whole genome shotgun sequence.